UACGUAGGCAGCGAGCGUUGUUCGGAAUUACUGGGCGUAAAGAGUGUGUAGGCGGUGCUCCAAGUCUGUUGUGAAAUCUCCCGGCUUAACCGGGAGGGUGCGGCGGAAACUGGAAUGCUUGAGGGUGGGAGAGGUAAGCGGAAUUCCUGGUGUAGCGGUGAAAUGCGUAGAUAUCAGGAGGAACACCUGUGGUGUAGACAGCUUACUGGACCACUUCUGACGCUGAGACACGAAAGCGUGGGUAGCAAACAGG
rnacentral:rRNA from 1 species